UACGUAGGGGGCAAGCGUUGUCCGGAUUUAUUGGGCGUAAAGAGCGUGUAGGCGGCCAGGUAGGUCUGCUGUGAAAACUCGAGGCUCAACCUCGAGACGUCGGCGGAAACCAUCUGGCUAGAGUCCGGAAGAGGAGAGUGGAAUUCCUGGUGUAGCGGUGAAAUGCGCAGAUAUCAGGAAGAACACCGGUGGCGAAGGCGGUCUC
rnacentral:rRNA from 1 species